AAAUGAAGUGAGAAACUUUUGACUUCCAGUGUAAAAUCCAGAUGCUCAGGUGCAGUGAGGACCCUGGAAGACAGAGAUCCUAGAAAAAGCAGAGGGAGAAGAGGAAGAGAACACAGAGAAACGCCAGGGAACAGAACUCUUGGUCCAGGAGGCAUAAACCACAAGUGCAAUUAGUCAAAAAAGAACUUGAAAUUAAAAAAUGACUCUAAGCUAAGGAGGGGAGUGCAUAAGUUACCGCCGCCUCAAGACAUUUAUGAAUAAUACAAAUGCCGCGAGGUGCUGCGCCCAAGCACAGUUAAU
rnacentral:lncRNA from 13 species